rnacentral:rRNA from 1 species
UACGGGGGGGGCAAGCGUUGUUCGGAAUUCCUGGGCGUAAAGGACUCGUCGGCGGCCAACUAAGUCGGAUGUGAAAUCCCCAGGCUUAACCUGGGAAUGGCAUUUGGGACUGCAAGGCUUGAGUGCGGCAGAGGAGACUGGAAUUCCUGGUGUAGCAGUGAAAUGCGUAGAUAUCAGGAGGAACACCGAUGGCGAAGGCAGGUCUCUGGGCUGACGCUGACGCUCAUGCACGAAAGCGUGGGGAGCAAACAGG